rnacentral:lncRNA from 1 species
UACAUUAUUAUUAUUUAUAUUUAAGAAAUCUGAAAUUAUUUAACAAUGGAUUAAAAAAUAUAUGUUUAAAAUAAUCGUAUUUUUCACAAAUAAAUACAUAUUUAAUAAAAAAUAUAAUUAAAAAGGAAGUAAACACUGUAACCAACAGGGGACUCAGUAUUCUGGGAAGUUUGUGUGAACUGGGAAUCAUAUUUUUCAAAUAAACCCAGUGUAACACUCAUUUUACAUACAGCACACAGUGAAAAUGACUGGAUAGCUACACACUUCACAAGAUCGAACUGCUGGAUUCGAAGUUUGCGAGUGAUGCUGAUGAAGAGGGCCAGUCAAGGGUCCAGGAUCAUAUAUAGCCUCUCCUUCACUCUUCCCUCUGAAGAAGACACACACAUCAUCCCUGAAUCUUCAGCAUUAAUGGUACGAGUGUAUGCUGUUGCAGAGAUAUUCUGAGUAUAUUUACCACACGACUGGUUCUGAGCGUGACUCCUUGGAGUGGUUUCUGACGUGGCGUGGCUCAUCAGACGAUCCAGAACAAUCCGGGGGUGACUGCUGUCCAUCGUGACUCCAUCAUUGACAGACAUCAAACCAGGUUUAUCAUCUGCUACUAUAGGAUUCUGGUUCUUCAAACAUCGGUGCUUGGUCCCAGGGAUCAGACACACCUUCAUCACAUUACUCCUAAAUGCUUCACUCCUAAAUGCUUCACUGACAGAGAGUCCCAUGCUAAAGCCUUUCAGUUGAUAUUG